rnacentral:rRNA from 1 species
UUAAAAAGCUCGUAGUUGGAUUUCUGGUGGGAGCGGCCGGUCCGCCGUAAGGUGUGUACUUGGUUGUCUCCUGUCAUCCUUGUGGGAACUGCUCUGGCAUUAAGUUGUCGGGGUUAGGGAACACAUCGUUUACUGUGAAAAAAUUAGAGUGUUUAAAGCAGGCUUAUGCCGUUGAAUACAUUAGCAUGGAAUAAUAAGAUAGGACUUUGGCGUCUAUUUUGUUGGUUUGCACACCAAGGUAAUGAUUAAUAGGGAUAGUUGGGGGUAUUCGUAUUUAAUUGUCAGAGGUGAAAUUCUUGGAUUUAUGAAAGACGAACUUCUGCGAAAGCAUUUACCAAAGAUGUUUUCAUUAAUCAAGAACGAAAGUUAGGGGAUCGAAGAUGAUUAGAUACCAUCGUAGUCUUAACCAUAAACUAUGCCGACUAGGGAUUGGCGGUCGUUCAUUUAUGACUCCGUCAGCACCUUAUGAGAAAUCAAAGUCUUUGGGUUCCGGGGG